GUGAACUAGACCGCCUAAAACCACAAGAUUAGAAGUUAUAGUAAUCUUACUAAAUUUAAGAUGUAACUAUUUUGAUUAAAUCAAUACUCAUGUCUUAUUUAUUAAAGAUUAUGAAAGUGGAGAUCAUUCUGUUUUGGGCUGGGUUAAUAGUUUUGUAACCCCUAUGCCAAGUUUUGACACCUUAUAGUAUUUAGGAGGAAUAAGUAUGAAAAUGCUUGAUUAAUAAAUGCCAACAAAAACGUACGCUGGCAAAUUGUUAAGACAUUUCUAAUAUUAUUUUACCAAUAAUUUUAAAGCCAACUUAUUUAUUAAAGAUUUUACUUAACUCACUUGAACUUGAAAAAGCAUUUAACUAGUCUUUGUUCUUUAGUAUCUGAUUUAAGCACUUUUAUUUUUUAAUCCAAUUAAUCAGAGCUCGUUUAUAUAUUUUUAAUAGUGAAAUAUUGUGUACACAACAAAUAAAUAUAUAGAUGUAUUAGGCAUGCUGAUAGAAGUACAUCUUAUAGAUUCAUAAAGACCUCCUUUUUUUCCUUUUUUUUUUUUUAAGCUCACCCUGGGCAGUUGUCAGCUAAAUAGCCUUAAAUUUGCAUUUUAGAGGAAACAACUCAGGUGAAAAUCAGAUAACAAAAUUUACAUCAUAAGGUAUGAAGAGGGCCCAGUGGGCCAGCAAACUCCUGUAAUCCCAGCACUGUGGGAGGCCGAGGCAGUUGGAUCACUUGAGGUCAGGAGUUUGAGACCAGCCUGGUCAACAUGGUGAAACCCUGUCUCCACUAAAAGUACAAAAAUUAGCCAGGUGUGCUGGUGCGCUUGUAAUCCCAGCUACUCGAGAGGCUGAGGCAAGAGAAUCGCUUGAACCCAGGAGGCAGAGAUUUCAGUGAGCUGAGAUGGCACCACUGCACUCCAGCCUGGGCAACAGAGUGAGACUCUGACUCAAAAAAAAAAGAGUGUAAGAAGAGAAAGCCUGGUGAGCUGGAGGGAAAUUAAAAUGGAUUUAAUUGCCGAUUGAACAUAACAUUAUAGAAGUCUAUUAUAAAGGCCUUCAAAUAUAUACAAACACACAUAUACAGACACACACACACACACACACACACACAGCUUCUACAGCUUUUACUUCAGUACUUUAGCCAUGAGAUAAAUACAAAUUUGCCAGCUCGCAAAAAACAAACAAACAAAACCUGUUAGAUCCAAACAGUGGUUUUUAUCUCAGCAGAAACAUAACAGCAGAUUUAAAGCAGGCAGAAAAGAAAAUACAGAAAAAGGGGACCUGGGAACUCUAUAGUUUACAGGUCCACCUUAGGGCUCUUUUUCCUUAAUCUAAAUGUGCACAAAGACUGUAUUACUUCCAUUUUACUCUGGCAAGUAAAGGUGCCGUAAAACCUAUGGAGUGCACAAAAGUGGGUCAUUCUCCUUGUUUUCUCCUCAUUCUUAGAUUGUUUCCUGGUUUUAUGUAUAUAUUUAUUUAUUUAUUUAUUUUCUUAAAAGGAGGAACUGAGCUGUGGCCUAGGGUUUUUGGGUGAUGCAUCAGUGUGUGCUGCUUGUGGGCAGGACUCCUCAGUGUGUCACCACUGAGUCGUUUCCACCCUCUUACGUGUCUCAGUUUCUCUCUCCAGAGGUCUAUGACCUCUGAAAGAGCUCAAAAUGCCAGGUGAUCAGCUCUACAAGAGACUCGCUUCACCUUUAAGGGCAGCAAUUCUUUUUUUUUUUUUUUUUUUUCUGAGAUGGAGUCUUACUCUGUUGCUCAGGCUGGAGUGCAGGGGCAUGAUCUCGGCUCACUGCAACCUCUGUCUCCCAGGUUCAAGCGAUUCUCCUGCCUCAGUCUCCUGAGUAGUUAGGAUUACAGGCAUGUGCCACCACACCUGGCUAAUUUUUUGUAUUUUUAGUAGAGAUGGGUUUCAUGUUGCCCAGGCUCGUCUUGAGCUCCAGACCUCAGGUGAUCCACCCACCUUGGCCCCCCAAAGUGCUGAGAUUACAGGUGUGAACCACUGCACCUGGCCAAGGACAGCAAUUCUUUUAGCCUCAAGGCAUCUUCUGAGCUUUGUCUUUGAUGGAGCCGGUCUCUUUGGGCACUAGUAUCAUUAUCCUAUGUUUGGCUCCUAGGGUUAUCCUUUAAAAAAAUAUGUCUUUUCCUAGCACCUAACAGAGUGCCAACUACAACAUAGAAGGCCUUCAGGCUUUCAUAAUACUGUUUAACUAAUACUUUUUCCCACUUUACUGAGGUAUAAUAGACAAAUAAAAUUGUACAUAUUUAAGUUGUAUAGUAUGAUGCUUUGAUGUACAUAUGCAUUGUGAAAUUAUUGCCAAAAUUAAGUUAGUUAACACAUCCCUCACCUCACAUAGUUACCUUUUGUGUAUGUGGUAAAAACAAAGGUCUGCUCUCUUAUUAAAUUUCAAAUUUACAAUACAGUAUUAUUAACUUCAUUAACAAUUAUCAAAUUAAAUAAAUGAGUCCUGUUGCUGUCACCCAGGAGAUGGCACUCUUAAGAGACAGCUCAGUGAUGGAUCAAUGGCUGAUAGUUGAGGCAUCUGCUUUUAUUAUUAUUGUUUUUGAUUCAUAUGGGAAACCAAUGUUUUCUUUACCUGUUAAUGCCCUUUUAAUAUGGAUGGUCUUUCCUAAUCAGCAGUCUAUGUGUAGCAGGACAAGCCGCAGACAAAACAUCUCAGACACCGAGUUGUAGAAAGAAGGGCUUUAUUCAGCUGGGAGCAUUGGCAAGCUACUGCCUUAAAAUCCGAGCUCCCCAAAUGCACAAUUUCUGUCUCUUUUAAGGGCUCACAACACUAAAGGUUUUACAUGAAAGGGUCGUGACUGAUUUGAGCAAGCAGGCAGUGACAGGGGCUGCAUGCCCCGGUGGUCAGAGAGAAACAGAACAGGGCAGGGAGUUUCACAGUGUUCUUCCACACAAUGUCUGGAAUCUAUGAAUAACAUCGGUUUGUAAGUUAUGAGUUGAUUUUUAACUACUGGGUUUAGGCCAGGCAGGCCCAGGCCUGGUUUUGGGCCUGACGCCGGGCUGCCUGUCUUUGGUUUUACUUCCUUGUUGUUUUUUCUUAAAACAGGUACUGAGUAUAAAACAAUAUAAAAUAAUAUGAGAGGUCUCUCUCUUCCCUCAUAUGGGCAUCUUUCCAAACAUCAGUUUAAUUCUCCUGAGAAAGGCUGCCUCUUUCUGUGAAUUCCCCAAAGUGAAUUUCAUAUGUACUACCGAGACCAUACAAUGUAUCAGGACAUCUAUAAUGAACAUUUGUUGGGUUUACCACCUGUAAUCAAGAUCUCAUCUUGUGGUUACAGAACUCUGAUUUUGUUUUGGGGGAUUCCCUUCUCCUACCUUUCUAUAUGUAUAAAGUUGAUUUCAUACCUGGCUCUGGGAGUGCACUUUUGGCCAAAUCCUCAUUCUAACAAUACAUUUUAUUAAUCGCUAUUUGUUCUGGCCACAGUUUGAUUCCAGAAUGGACACAGGAUCCAAGUCUGUGAAAUCAAGAUCUGUGAGAUUCUAUUCUAAGACUUUCUUAGAACUUUCUGAGACAAGGACUUUCCCUUUUCUCCUGGGUGUGGAGUUUUAAAGAUAAGUGUUCUAGAGCUGCUGCAGUCAUCUUGCAACUACAAGGACAGAGCAUAACUAAGAAUGGAUCCUAAUUAGAGGUGAACAAAAGUAGACCUAAAGAAAACAAAAGUAGGACCUAAAGAAAAAUUGUCUAGGUCCUGAUAACAGAUAUAUAUAAGCUUCUCAUCCAGCUGCUCCAAAAGCUAAAUAUUCAGAUUUUUUAGUUAUAUAGGCUCAUACAUUUACUUAUUGCUUAAUCAGUUCACCAUCUUAAACAUAACUUCCAACCUGGUUAAUACUUGUCCAGCUAUUACCAAAUGUAAACAAGCAUGAACAAAUGAGAGACAGAAAAUUAAUGUUGGUGAUAUAGAUUAUAAGUAAUGAGGAGUGUUCAGAUAUCGAGAUAAAACAUGCUUGUAUCAGUCAUUUGUUUAGUACUUAAGAUAGGUUUUACAACAUUUGAGAUAUGGCAGAUAUCUCAAAAUAUGAGGUGUCCAUAAAGUGUGCAAACAGAUACAUAUAACAAACUGUUGAUAUUACAUUACAGUUGAGUAAAAUAACAUUGUUUCACAUUAUAUAGACAACACUAUCAGACUUAAAUCCCUCUAAAAAUCUAGGUGGGAAUUCUAAGACUAAUUACUUUGCAACGAUAUUGAAAAAUACUUGGGUAUGUACUAGGCAGGAAAAUACCUACUGCAUACAAAGUAUUGUUUUGGUGAUUUAAAAGAUAGACAAAGGAAAUAAAGAGAGAAAGAGAGAGGGAGAGAACGAGAGAGAGAAGGAGGGAAGGAAGAAAGGAAGAAGAAAUAUUUUGUAUUUACUCUGUGCCAGAGUUCUGAGAACAUGGAGUCAAAAAAAAAAAAAGAAAACAAAAAAACAAAAAAAAAUACAACUCACUGUUCCUACCCUCAAGGAACUCAGUGAGGUAUAAAAGAUGAACAUAUAAACAACAAAAUUAUAUAUAAUAUAUAGGUUAGGUUAGUGAAAUGCAGGUAUAUGAGCCAGAUAUUAUAAGAACAGAGAAGCACAUCAAGUCGGUUUUUGAGGGAGAAAGCUUACCAGCACAGACUGACAGAUGCACAGCUGCAAGGACACCAGACAGGGGAGAUAGUUUCCAAACAAGUGGAAAAUAGGGCAGACAUCUCUUGAGGGAGGAAGACAACAAGAGACUUCAGAAGGGGUGGAUCCAACAAAAUCCAGUUUCCUCUCAAACUUACUUACCACGUCAGACAUUCCUCCUUUGGAGAGACUACUUGAGGAGUGACAAAGGCCAUAAAACGUUGGGCACAGGAGGCAAUAAGAAGGCACCAUUCUGGAAGCAGAGAGCAACCCUCACCAGAUACUGUAUCUGCUGGAACCUUGAUCUUGGACCUCCCACUCUUCAGAACUGAAGAACACCAUGUGAACAUGAAGACAACCACCUACAAGCCAAAGAGAGAGGCCUCAGAGGAAACAACCAUGCUAACAUCUUCUUAUACUCUAGCCCCAAGAAAUGUGAGAAAAUAAAUUUCUGUUGUUUAAGCCAUUCUGUUCAAUCUGUGGUAGUUUGUUAUUGCAGCCUUAGCAGAUUAAUACAGUGAUAAAAGCAAAAACUGUAUCAAUAUAUAUAGCAGUGGCUUUCAAAUUUUCAAUAUAUAUAUAGCAGUGGCUUUCAAAAUUUCAAAUUUUUCACAAUCUACAAUAUGAAAUUAAUUUUACCACUCUACCCAGUAUGCAUAGACAGACAUAGCUGGAACAAAGAACAAAAUUUUUUCUUGCUAAUGUAUGUUGAUAUUUUUACUUGUUUGAUUGUAUUCCAUCAUUUCAUAUUAAGAAAGACACAAUAACUGAUUUUGCAACUGAUGAACUGGCCAAAUGUUAAAAAAUGCUAGAUAAGAAAUACUAUUAUUUGUUAAAACAACAACAAAGGCCCCAGCAAACUAGAUUCUUUGGAUAGAGGCAGAAGGGGCAUUUGUGAGCAUCUAUUUUUUAACUUUUUUUUUUUCCAAAAUAAAAUCUUAUGAGAAAAUCCAAUGUAUCAAACAGAUAAAUGCUGAGUUACUUUGGUAGACAGUGGUGGGGAGAGAAGUGGAGCCUUCCUACUUAUCCCUGACAGCCCUGAUGCAGCUCAACAGCACCAAUGGCUCUUGGGUACAGGACUUAAAAACCAAAUAUUUAUUCCACUCCUCUCAUUAUUUAGAAAGGGGGACAUUGGGGUAAGGGACAAAGCUGUUAGGAGGGCCAGGUGCAGUGGCCCAUACCUGUAAUCCCAACACUUUGGGAGGCUGAGGUGAGAGGAUCACUUGAGCCCAGGAGUUCUAGAUCAGCCUGGGCAACAUAGAAGACCCUGUCUCUAUAAAAAUUUUUUUUAAAUUUAAAAAAUUUGAAAGAUGUUAGGUGAUAUGGUUUGUGUCCCCACCCAAAUCUCAUCUUGAAUAGUAGCUCCCAUAAUUCCCACAUGUGUGGGAGGGACCAGGUAGGAGGUAAUUGAAUCGUGGGGACAGUUUGCCCCAUACUGUUCUUGUGAUAGUGACUAAGUCUCACAAGUUCUGAUGAUUUUUAUAGGGAGUUUCCCCUUUUGCUUGGCUCUCAUUUCUUCCUUGCUUGCUGCCAUGUAAGACAUACCUUUUCUCCUUCUGUGAUGAUUGUGAGGCCUCCCCACCCAUGUGGAACUGUGAGUCCAUUAAACCUCUUUUUCUUUAUAAAUUACCCAGUCUCGGGUAUGUCUUUAUCAGCAGCGUGAAAACAGACUAAUACAUUAGGAGAUUGAGAUUGCAAGUUCUAAGCGAGGAUUGUAUAGAUAUAGAUGUACCAUCAUUCUUCAAUAAUUGGGGAAGUGAGAAUCUCAAAUAUAAAAGAGGUCCAUCAAUAACAUCCAUCUCUUCUUUCCAUUAAAAUAAGAAAUAUAAAAGUAGAAAUAAUGCUUGGUAAAUGUGACACAUCUCCAGUAGGCUCAUAUACUAACUUAAAUCUUGUGCUGUUCCAUUGCCCUCUGCUGGAUGUUCUUAGUAUCUGUGGCCUCAAAACUAGAAGUUCUAGUAGUGGUAGUAGUCACAGCAAUAGUGAUUAUUAUCAUUAUUGUCAUUUUAGCAGCAGCCAUGUUGAGGUCAAGCACUGUGCCACAUGCUUUACAUCCAAAUCCUCCUAACAACUCUAUGGCUAGAUAAUGCUCUCUCAUUUUGUAGAUGUGGAACCUGGGGGUUCAGAGGUAAAUAAACAAACCAAGGUUACACAACUAAAAGUAAGAGACCCGGGAAUUAAAUAUUGGUUCUAAAGCCUAGGCCUUAAUUACUUGCUGUUCAUUAAACUUUCAAUCUGUCAGCUGUGUUGGUGAUAAAACUGGAAUGAUAUUACUAGUUGGGAUCUUUUGAUUCACUGAUUAUUAACAAUGGAAUCACAACGAUCUUUAUUCUAAAAAGCCAAAAAUUAUUAUCUUCCUAAAAUUACCAAAAAGGAAAAGCUUACUCCUCAACAGAGCAGGAGAGCAUGUUUUCAGAGUUUCUCAAAGUGUGAUUCAGGAAACUCCUGCAUUGGAAUCACAUGAGGUGCUACUUCAGGGCAGAAAAUCCUAUGCACCAGGAUGUAUUUUGGAGGUAGAGAGGACAGAGCUUGUUCCUGAGAGCUGGGAUAUGUGUUAGUGGAGUGAGUGUAGAGAGAAAGAGGAACAAAAGAUGGCUCCUAAAAUUUUUGGCUCAGGACAAAUUUUGAGGAGAGUAGUGGCAUUAACUGAGAUGAGAAAGAUUAUUAGAGGAGCAAGGGUUUUAAUUGUUAGUUCAGUUGUGGCAGUUACUUUUUUGGCAGCAGAUAUAAAACCAGGAGUUUGGGUUUAGAUAUUAUAUUUAUGUUGCCAUAUAGGUAACCAAAUAAAAAUGGUAGAGCUAACUACAAAUAACUUUUAAAAAUUCAGAUCUAUAUUUAAGAUCUAUUCAUGUUGUUUCACGUGUAUCUCUUUCUAAUUGCUGCAUAAUCCUUUGUAAGUCUAUCAGUAGUAAGAGACCAGAUUACUUCCAACUCCCGCCACCACAACCAACACAGCAGUGAGCAUCCUCCUAUACAAUCCUUUAAGGUCCUCUGCAUGUAUUCUUUUGUGGUAUAAACUCAGGAGUGAGGUAUACUCAAUUGGAUUCGAUACUGCCAGGUUACUCCCUAAAAUGGCUGUGCUGGUCUAUACCCUAUCAGCAGUGCACAAGAGUUCCUCUACCUUCACAUUUCUUUGAAUGCUAAUAACUAUCCAGCCUAAUUUUUCACUAGAUAAAGAGGCAUCUUAUUGUUUUAAUACAUAUCUCUCUGAUAAGUUUGAGUAUCUUUACACACUCGUUGGACUUUUGGGUUUCUGUAAAUUGCCUAUUAAUAUUUCAUUGUUUUUCUUUCUUUGCCAUGUGAUAACUACAUAUUUAUGGGAUAUAUAGUAGUAUUUCAAUAUAUGUAUACAAUGUGUAAUGAUCAAGUCAGGGUAAUUAAGCAUAUUCAUUAUCUCAAACAUUUAUGAUGUGAACAUUCAAAAUAAAAAUCCUCUCUUCUAGCUUUUUAAAAAAUACACAAUAUUUCCCUUACAGUGCUACAGAACACUAGAACUUAUUCCUCCUCUUUAGCUAUAAUUUCGUAUCUGUUAACGAACUUCUCCGUAUCCUCUCCUCCCCACUACUCUUCCUUCCCCACUACUCUUCCUUCCCCACUACCCUUCCCAGACUCUAAAAACCACAAUUAUACUCUCUAUGAGCUCUUUUUUGUUUUUUUGGCUCCUACAUAUGAGUGAGAACAUGUGGUGUUUAUCCUUCUGAGCCAUCUUAUUUCAGUUAACAUGCCCUCCAGGUUCAUCCAUGUUGCCACAAAUUAGAAGAUUUCAUUCUUUUUUAUGGCCAAGUAGAAUUCCAUUUUGUGUAUAUACACCACCUUAUCCAUUCAUCUUUUGAUGGACAUUUCAUAUCUUGACUAUUUUUAACAGUGCUACAAUAAACAUGAAGGUGCAGGAAUCUCUCUGAUACAUAGAUUUUCUUUCCUCCGGAUAAAUACCCAGUAGUGAGAUUGCUGGACUUUCUUAGCACUCAUGUUAAAAAUCAUUUGAACAUAUAGGUGAGAAGUUAUUCCUGGGCUCAAAAACAAACAAACAACAACAGACAACAGAUAAGGAUACAGCAUGGGCCGGGCACGGUUGCUCACGCCUGUAAUCCCAGCACUUUGUGAGGCUGAGGUGCGUGGAUCACCUGAGGUCAAGGGUUCAAGACCAGCCUGACCGACAGGGAGAAACCCCCGUCUCUACUAAAAAUACAACAUUAACUGGGCGUGCUAGCGCAUGCCUGUAAUCCCAGCUACUCAGGAGGUGGAGGCAGGAGAAUCGCUUGAACCCAGGACGCAGAGGUUGCAGUGAGCCAAGAUCGCACCAUUACACUCCAGCCUGGGCAACAAGAGUGAAACUCUGUCUCAAAAAAACAAAAACAAAAAACCAGCAUGAUUUCAGGAGCAGAAAGAGAAUAACUUAAAAACCAGCAUAAUGAGAAAGUUAGGAAGCUUCUUACCAAAGCAUCUGGAAGUAUGCAAGAAAUUCUUGUGAACUAAAAUUUUCGUGCUGUACUAGCAAACACUACAACUCACUUAUUCCAUCUUUCUGUAUUUUGGGACCCAAUUAUCCACUUCUCUUCAUUCCCUAUCCCACCCCUUUUCUUCCUAGCGUCUGCUAACCACCUUUAUACUCUCCACCUUCCUGAGAUUCCUUUUGUGUGUAUGUGUGUGAUGGAGUCUCUUUCUGUUGCCCAGGUUGGAGUAUACAGGCACAAUCCGGGCUCACUGCAACCUCUGCCUCCAGAGUUCAAGGGAUUCUUGGGCCUCAGCCUCCCGAGUAGCUGAGACUACAGGCACGCGUCACCACGCAUGGCUAAUUUUUUGUGUUUUUAGUAGAGACGGGGUUUCACCAUGUUGGUCAGGCUGGUCUCGAACUCCUGGCCUCAAGUGAUCCGUGCAACUCGGCCUCCCAAAGUGCUGGGAUUACAGGCCUGAGCCACCACACCUGGCCAAGAUUUUCUUUUUUGUUCCUACAUGUAAGUGAGGACAUGUAAUAUUUGUCAUUCUGUUCCUGGCUUAUUUCACUUAAUAUACAGACCUGAAAUCUCAUCCAUUUUUUCUGCAGUGGAGAGGAUUUUAGUCCUUUUUAGGCUGAAUAAUACUUCAUUGUAUGUGUAUACCAGUUUAAUUGACACAAAUUUCUAAAAAGCAAAUAUUUUUAAAAUGUCUCAGAAUGUGAAACUUUAGGGAUACUGUGCCCAUUUUAUUCUUUUCUAUUUCCCAUUUUAUGGAUAUGCAAGUGUAUAAUAAAACAGCAAUCAAUGGGUGUAUAAAUCUAUAACUUCAACAAAUGUAAAAUGAAAAUGCUAAGUGGUGGCUGGGCGCUGUUGCUCACACCUGUAAUCCCAGCACUUUGGGAGGCCGAAGCGGGCGGAUCACCUGAGGUCGGGAGUUCAAGACCAGUCUGACCAACAUGGAGAAACAGUCUGUACUAAAAAAAAAAAAAAAAAAAAAAAACAAAGUAGCUGGGUGUGAUAGUGCAUGCCUGUAAUCCCAGCUACUUGAAAGGCUAAGAGAGGAGAAUCGCUUGAAUACGGGAGGCAGAGGUUGCAGUAAGCCGAUAUCAUGCCAUUGCACUCCAGCCUGGGCAACAACAGUGAAACUCUGUCUCAAAAAAAAAAAAAAAGAAAAAAGAAAAAAGAAAAAAAGAAAAUGCCAAAUGGUAAGAAAAAACAGCAUAAUAAAAAUUUGUAUGGUGUUGAAGAACAAUGCAUUUGAAGAUAAUAUUUGAAGAAAUCAUAUUACAAUUAACUUCUGUUCUUACUCAUUGGUUUGAUGCCUCUAAAAACUUCAUCACUGGAACCACCUCUGGUGCUUUAAAAAAAAAAAAAAAAAAAAAAAAAAAAAUCCGCAUACCCACACAGGUGCAAGUAAAUCAGAAUCUCAGGUCAUGAGACCCAGGCCUCAUCAUUUGUAAGUGCCCCGGGUGAUUUGAUUCAAAGCCAAGAUUGAGGACCCGUGACAUGGAUCUCUACACAUAAUCUGCCUAAAUAGAUUCUCUACAAGCAGUUUAUAAAGAAGUUCCACAUGAACUCUGGAAGAGGAUAUGAAUUUGAUGUACAGUAUGUGCUCACUUAACAUCUUUGAAAGUCUCUUGGAAACUUCACCUUUAAGCAAAAUUAUGGAUAGUGAAACCACUUAUUCCUCAUCAACAUUACAACUAAACAACUUUGAACAAAACAAUGGUGUUGGAGGACCGGCUGUACAUUGUUUCUAUAAAGUCAAUUUUCAGGGAAUUCCAAAAUGAAGUGAGGACUUCCUGUAUAUAAAAAGAUGGUUGUGAUUCCACAUGGAUGACAGGGUUAUUGCUCAGAAACUAAAGGAGGCCGCCCAGGUAUAGAGGAUUCAGUCAUGAGGUUUAUGCUACACAAAAGAUCCCAGAAUACUCACCCAUUCCAGUCAAAGACAUAAUGAAAAAAGCAAUAUUCACAUAGG
rnacentral:lncRNA from 1 species